CCACAACCAGCGCACACAGAGAGGACAGAACCAGCACAUGCUGUGUGGAGACAGAGAGCAAAACACUUUUUACUUUUUCAGUUGUUGUGUUAAAUGUUUGCUCUGAGAACAUCCUGUCUAUGUAAUUCAUUAUGAGCUACUGCCUCUUCUGUAACAGCUACCUUUUCUGUGACCUGCAAAAAGAAAAGACCGGGAGAUAGAGAAGGAGAGGGCCAAUACAGAUUGAAGAAUAAGAGGUUCCUACAGGAGCGCGACCUCAAUAUAGCACAGCUCAGCUCCUGUCAGCUUGCGCUAUGAAUUUUGUACCUGAGCCCCAUCAUCGUCCCACCCCUGGGCCUGCUGGGUAGAAUCAUUGUCAUUCCCCUGCACAGGCUGAGA